UGCGUGUGUGUGUGUGUGUGUGUGUGUGUGUGUGUGUGUGUGUGUGUGUGUUUGCGUGUUUGUGUAUCAGCAAAGUGCACCAAGAAGUAUCAGAGUAUCCCAAAUGAGGAGGUUUGCUCUCUCUAUGUUUGCUUAUUCGAUGCGUUCCAUAAAUCCUCCUUCCAUACUUGCUCUCUAGGCCACCGUCUCUCUUAUCUGGGCGUGUGCAGCUCUCUGGACAGCUGUUAUGUGCGGACAUAAAUCAAGCUUGACAUGUUUCUACUAACAUUGGUCGAUGUCCGAUUCUUCUCUUUCCCUGCUGGCCAGGAGCCCUUUGGCAGGGUGGGGGCUGGGAAAGCUAGGUUUGAAUCGUAUUUAGUUCAUGAAGAUUAAACUAUUCACGUUGUCAACACGAAGCGAAAGAAAUUCUUAGAACAUCUUUUAAAUAUGACGCUUUAGAUUUGAUUCCAGAUGACCGCAAAAUUAACCACCGGUUGGAGUCAGGAUAGAGGAAUAUAAGAGGGGGUGUAGCUCUGAGCCGGCUGGCCCCUAAGGCCCUCCACGCCGGGGCCCCUCACCCCUCCAUACUGGGGCCCCUCCCCCCUCCAUACUGGGGCCCCUCCCCCCUCCACGCUGGGGCCCCUCACCCCUCCACGCUGGGGCCCCUCAGCUCUCCAUACUGGGGCCCCUCAGCCCUCCAUACUGGGGCCCUUCACCCCUCCACGCUGGGGCCCCUCAGCUCUCCAUACUGGGGCCCCUCACCCCUCCAUACUGGGGCCCCUCACCCCUCCAUACUGGGGCCCCUCACCCCUCCACGCUGGGGCCCCUCAGCUCUCCAUACUGGGGCCCCUCACCCCUCCACGCUGGGGCCCCUCAGCCCUCCAUACUGGGGCCCCUCAGCCCUCCAUACUGGGGCCCCUCACCCCUCCAUACUGGGGCCCCGCCAUGCUAGGGUUCCUCAGUACUAGGGAUGGGGGACAGGGUGCCCCUAUUCCGGGAAACAACAUGCACUACGGAUCUGAGUUUUAGUGCAUCUCUGGCCUCAUUUCGUGGUAAUAGUAAGCAGGUCUUUUAUUGCUUUGGUAUCCACAGCAAACAUUUCCACUACGUCCUAUGAUUACUCAUGCUAGCCCAGCACACAUUUCUCUGGAACUACUUGACCAUGCAGCAGUUUCAUUGGCCAUUGGCCAAGCCACAGCCCCUUGUUCCUCGUGGCCAAUGGAGACACACACAGGUUCUGAUGACUGAGGGACACAGGUUCAGCUAUACUGUCUGACUCCAGAGCUCCUGGUCUGACUCAAGAGCUCCUGGUCUGACUCCAGAGCUCCUGGUCUGACUCCAGAGCUCCUGGUCUGACUCCAGAGCUCCUGGUCUGACUCCAGAGCUCCUGGUCUGACUCUAGAGCUCCUGGUCUGACUCUAGAGCUCCUGGUCUGACUCCAGAGCUCCUGGUCUUGACUCCAGAGCUCCUGGUCUGACUCUAGAGCUCCUGGUCUGACUCUAGAGCUCCUGGUCUGACUCUAGAGCUCCUGGUCUGACUCCAGAGCUCCUGGUCUUGACUCCAGAGCUCCAGGCCUUUGGGAUGUCAGGGGAGAGAAAUGGAAUGGGUGCACAACAGUUAUCUUCUCCUGUCAUUGUAGAAUCUAGACUCUGUUCUACUGUCCUGUUCUACUGUCCUGGUCUAGCUUCCCGUUCUACUGUCCUGUUCCCCGGUCCCGUUCUACUUUUCUGUUCUAGCGUUCUGUUCUAGUCUUCUGUUCUACUGUCCUGUUCUAUUGUUCUGUUCCACUGUUCUGUUCCACUGUCCUGUUCUAGUGUCCUGUUCUACUGUCCUGUUCUACUGUCCUGUUCUUCUGAUCUGUUCAUGCUGCGUCACAGCGUACCUGUCACCAUGUGGUGGUAUUUGUGUUCCUGAACUAUAGAGCCAGCGUCUGUUCUUGGCCUCUGUCCACGGUGGGUUUUAGUGACGCUCAGAGCAGACUACCAACUAGGGUCCUAUUGUGACAGAGAAUGCCUGGAGGGGUUGCUGUGGCUGAACACGAAACCCCUUGAAGCUGUCAUUGUGGUAAAAGGUUAUAUAAACUGACCUAAAUAGACCGCACUCAAGCACUCAUGUAUUCUAUUAUAAAUGUAAUGCACGUCGUACGUACGCUCACCCAGCAAGUCUUAAGGAAUGAAAACAGAUUAGAGCCAGGGUCAGCAUUAUAAAGAGUUACCACAUGCAGGAAGGAGUGCCAGGAAAAGGUGACGGGUCAAGGGGAGUGGCCAUGUUUGAAUUGGGACUGAAAAACCAAGAGCUGUCCCUCAAACAUACCGCCAGCAGCGAGCUGAAAGACUUUACACUGCUAUUGUUGUACAAAAAGUCAAAUAAAACCAGUCCCAGAUUGCCGUCGGUCAGCAGAACGUAUCCCUAUGGCAACAGUGCGAGGGGUCUACCAGCAAGCGCUGGGCGCUUGCUGGUAGAAGAAGAGAGCGUCUGACCCCGGGUGGGUUCACUAGGCAAGAGGAGCUCCUUUCAUACAAACCGGUACAAGCUAGCAUCACAUUAGAAUAAACCAGAGAGCAGGAUCUACUGUGUUGGUUGAAGAUAAGGAGGUUUGAUUUAGAAAUGGGGCACUUGGUACCUUGCAAUGUUAAUCACUUUCUAUUACUUUGCUAGAUUCUUUUUUAUCCCCCGAAGGGAAAAUUCCUUGUUACAACAGCCCAGCAGCAGUGGAAAACACAGGAUAAGAUUAUACAAAAAUAAAAAAUAUAUAAAGUAUGAAUGAAAACAAAAAUACACGCUCAAGUAAAUGCUAAAGUAAAAACAAACAGAAGAAACAUGGCAAACAAAACAGAUGGUAUAAACAAUAUGAAUUAUAAAUGAUAAAGUGUAAAUUAAAAAGUUGCUGAUCAAGUAUGUGUGUGUGCCUUCUCCAGUAACAGUAAACCGGUAUUUCUGGGCUGUUCUUAAUAGGCUAGUACCUGAGAGCCCUAGCGGCUCUGUGGGCUGGCUCCUGCUGUAAGGGAGCUCUCAGGAGGGAGUUGGUUUCAGCCCUCCCCUUGGUCCCCAUGGUCUCUGUGCACCAUGCCCCUCACUGAAUAUGGGGCCGAUCUUUUUCUGGAUUAUUUGAAAGCAUCACAUUUAUUUGUUAUUAUUUUGACAUUGAUGCCUGAGGGAUAGUGUGUGUGUGUGUGUGUGUGUCAGUGUGUGUGUGUGUGUGUGUGUGUGUGUGUGUGUGUGUGUGUGUGUGUGUGUGUGUCUGUGUGUGUGUGUGUGUGUGUGUGUGUGUGUGUGUGUGUGUGUGU